ACCUAAAGGGAGACAUUUGAAUGGGGAUCAUGUUGUUUAUGAUAUAGAUGAUAGGUUGCCUGGUGAAGUGCAGCCUCAGCUGGAGGUUACUCCCAUUACCAAGUAUGGUUCGGAUCCGGGACUUGUUUUAGGCAGGCAAAUUGCAGUUAACAAAAGCUAUAUAUGUUAUGGGCUCAAAUUGGGAGCUAUUCGUGUGCUUAACAUUAACACCGCGUUGAGGUCAUUGCUUAAAGGUCUUGCACAG
rnacentral:misc_RNA from 1 species